GGACUUUAGCUCAGAGGCAGAGUGCUUGCCUAGUAUGUGUGAGGCACUGGGUUCAAUCCUCAGAACCG
rnacentral:tRNA from 1 species